rnacentral:rRNA from 1 species
GACGAACGCUGGCGGCGUGCUUAACACAUGCAAGUCGAACGGAAAGGCCCUGCUUUUGUGGGGUGCUCGAGUGGCGAACGGGUGAGUAACACGUGAGUAACCUGCCCUUGACUUUGGGAUAACUUCAGGAAACUGGGUCUAAUACCGGAUAGGAGCUCCUGCUGCAUGGUGGGGGUUGGAAAGUUUCGGCGGUUGGGGAUGGACUCGCGGCUUAUCAGCUUGUUGGUGGGGUAGUGGCUUACCAAGGCUUUGACGGGUAGCCGGCCUGAGAGGGUGACCGGCCAAAUUGGGACUGAGAUACGGCACAGACUCGUACGGGAGGCAGCAGUGGGGAAUAUUGCACAAUGGGCGGAAGCCUGAUGCAGCAACGCCGCGUGCGGGAUGACGGCCUUCGGGUUGUAAACCGAUUUCGCCUGUGACGAAGCGUGAGUGACGGUAAUGGGUAAAGAAGCACCGGCUAACUACGUG